ensembl:lncRNA
CCAGCAGCAAGCUACCACAGAAAAAAAGCAUAUGUCCUCUUUCAAAAGAAAAAUCUGCCUUUUUACAGCUACAGAGAAUUGAAAGCAAACUUGAUCAUCAAAUGUGGAGUUGUGCCAAAUCACAGGCAGCCAGAAGAAAGCUCUGGCAUGAAGAAAGCUCUGAAGGUGAGAAGAAUGGAGAUGAAACAGCUUGGAAUGAGAAAAAGAGCAACGAGAUUCCUCCAGCCUGCAGGGGAAACUGUGCCACCCUGUCUCCUGCUUGGUCGCAGGCCUGUUUCUCCGAGAGCGCUGCUGCGAGCUCUGGCUCGUCCAGAACGACGCCUCUCUCCCACGAGGGACACUCGCUGUCAGCACCCUCCACUCCUACUGGGAGGGAAGCUGAGGAUGGAGAAGGCACAGCUGGCACAUGGUCUCCUGCAAAGAGCCUGUACUCACCAAGAAUGGACAACUUCAGGGACCACACAAAUUCAAGGAGGAGUCAAAUAGUACAAAUGGGAAAACCUCCCUGCUCUCUGCAUCACCCAUCCCAUUCCCCUGCAGGGAGCAGUCCGCUCUCUGCUGUGGCACCCGGCAGUGGGAGCAAUGAUCCUGUGCCCACGGCAGUGCUGCUUCCCACGUGCUGCCUUCCACCAGGCAGCAGGCCCAGCGAUUGCAAGCUGGAGGAGGCAUGGAAAAAAUCACCCAAGCAGAAAUUAGAGCAGCUCAAGGAGAGAAUCCGGGAGCAGAAGCAACACCAGCAAGCGGCAGCUCAGGAGCAGAAGUGCCUGAAUGCCACCUAUGCCAAGGAGCCACGGCAAAAGCGAAUGGUGCGCAAAGUUGUUUCUGCUCCUCCUGCUCCAGCUUACAGAGGUUUUAGUGCUGCGAGUCUGAGGUCUGCUCUUUUCUUGCCUGAUGAAGCGCGUGGAAUACCACAGAGAGAAGAAUUUAGCAUGCCUGGAGGACAGCGAGGUUAUAAAAAAGCCCUCAAGAUCCCAGACCAAGGAGAAAGAAGCUCAGCAGGGAGAAUUCAAAGCCUGAGGCAGCCUUCACCCCGGUCAUCUGUUCUGGACAGAGCAGUGACAGAUAAAAGUAUGAAGCUACCUGGAGCUUCUGCAUGGAGAGAAGAGCCUGGUAGAGGAUUGGUAGCAAUGCCAGCGAUGGAACAGAGCUAUAGAGAAAGGGGAAAUGAACCUCUGGGGAAAAGCCCUGAAUUCAAAAGCUGCAUGGUACCCCCCCGCACGCCUGUUGAAAGGGGCAGAAAUACACCAGGCGAGGAUACAAAGCAAAUACUCAGGAACCUACAUCUGCAAAGCAAACAUCAUGAUGAACACAGAAAUGCCAGGCUCCCAAAAGAUACUGCAAAAGGAAAGCUAGAAGAUCUGCAGCAGUGCAUAGGGAUCAAUUCUCCUUCACCUGGAGUUCAGGUCAUGACUCCCUCUGCCUUCAGUGGAGAAAAGACGAGAUCUUCAUUAAUGAGAGCUGAAACUGAGUACAGAAACUGCAGCAGAGGAAAUAGCACAUCUCCUCAAAGACAGAAAGGCUCAAGGAGCCCGGCACAGAAAGAGUCUGAAAAGGAAAAUCUUAAUCACCCUUCAAGGAGGAGGGCAAACAUGAAAAAACCUCACCC